UACGGAGGGUGCAAGCGUUAUUCGGAAUUAUUGGGCGUAAAGCGUGCGCAGGCGGUUUGUUAAGUCCGUUGUGAAAGCCCCGAGCUCAACUUGGGAAUUGCAGUGGAUACUGGCAGGCUGGAGUACGGUAGAGGAAGGUGGAAUUCCCGGUGUAGCAGUGAAAUGCGUAGAUAUCGGGAGGAACACCAGUGGCGAAGGCGAGUCUCUGGACAUUUCCUGACGCUGAGGCACGAAAGCCAGGGGAGCAAACGGG
rnacentral:rRNA from 1 species